GCUGGUUUGGCUCAUUAGAUAGAGCAUCAGCCUGUAGACUGAAGGGUCCUGGGUUCGAUUCCAGUCAACAGCA
rfam:Myotis brandtii contig320489, whole genome shotgun sequence.